UCUAAAACCGAUCCUAAUAAAGAGGUCAUUUUAUUUCUGCCAAUGGAGAUAUAACAAGAACAGAAAGAGCCUACACAUAGUCACAGCAAAUCUGAAGCUUUCAGAACCAAAUAAUUAGUGUGUUUUGGCCACGUCUGGAAUAUGGAGUGGGUAUUUUGGGGUUUGGCGGCCAUUUGUGCAGGUUUAGUUUGGUUUCUGCUCAAGAUUGCAACAACGAUAUGGUGGAAGCCUCUGCAAGUGAAAAAGUCCUUUGAAGCUCAAGGAAUCAGUGGCCCUCCAUACAGGUUAUUCUAUGGGAAUUUACCAGAUAUAUCCAGAAUGACCGAUGAGCAGAAGUCCAAACCCAUGGCACUCUCACAUGACAUAUUCCCUCGAGUUUUCCCCCAUUUACAUCAGUGGAGCAGAAAAUAUGGUCAGGAUUUUAUUUUCUGGUUUGGGCCGAAUGCCAUGUUGGUUGUUCCCCACCCCGAGCUUAUUAAGGAGAUAUUGUCCACUAAAUUUGGCAACUAUCCAAAGCCUCCGAGUAAUCCCCUUUCAAGACAACAGUUGGGAAAGGGACUUGCGGGGUUGAAAGGUGAGAAAUGGGCUCAGCACAGGAAAAUCAUCAAUCCUGCUUUCCAUAUGGAUCUAUUGAACGGGAUGAUUCCAACAAUUGUGAAAAGCGUUGCCAAUAUAUUGGAUGGAUGGAGUAAAUUGAUAUUGUCAGGUGCAUCGGAAAUUGAUGUGCAAAAGGAGUUCCACGAUCUAACAGCAGAUGUUAUUUCCCGCACAGCAUUUGGAAGCAGUUAUACAGAAGGAAAACAUAUCUUUGAAAUGCAGAUCAAACAGACGAUCCUUGCAGUUGACUCACGUCGUAGUGUUUAUAUUCCAGGUUUCAGGUUUCUUCCUACUGCAAAGAAUAGGCAACGUUGGAAUGUGGAGAAAGAAAUAAGAAGAUCCUUAAGAAAAAUUAUAGAUGGCAGGGAAAGGACUGCUAUAACAGAAAAAUCAGGUCGAUAUGGUGCCGAUCUGCUUGGGUUAAUGAUGUCUGAGAGCAAGGAGCAGGGUAGAGUCAAUGUAACAAGUAAUGGAAGCCUGAGUACAGAGGAAAUCAUUGAUGAAUGCAAGACUUUCUACUUUGCUGGUCAUGAAACCACAUCAUUACUGUUGACAUGGAGUAUAAUAUUGUUGGGCAUACAUCAAGAUUGACAAGAGCGAGGUCGCAGAGAAGUGAUGGAAGUAUGUGGAAAAAACAAUUAUCCAGAUGCAGACAGCUUAAGUCGCCUCAAAACUGUGGGAAUGAUCAUAAAUGAGGUCUUAAGACUUUAUCCACCUGCACCGCGUAUGUUGAGAAUGGCACGUGAGCCAAUGAAACUUGGGAGGCUCUCAAUUCCUGCAGCCACUCAACUUAUGAUUCCGAUCCUUGCAAUUCACCAUGAUCCUGCUUUGUGGGGAGACGAUGCCAAAGAUUUCAACCCAGGGCGAUUUAGUGAAGGAAUUGCAAAGGCUGCAAAGCAUCCAAUGGCAUUCAUGCCCUUUGGUGGAGGUCCAACUAUAUGUGUGGUCCAAACUUUUGCCUUGUUGGAAGCAAAAAUAGUUUUGGCAAUGAUUCUGCAAAAAUUUUCUUUUGUGACUUCACCAUCUUAUACUCAUGCUCCUAUGCUUUUACCUACUCUGAAACCUCAAUAUGGAGCUCAGCUUAUCUUCCGCAUGGACUGUGAAUAGUACUACCUAGAAUUUCCUCAAGUGUAUCGAAAUUUUUACUAGCAUUAUAUAUUUACUGUAGUAUAAAUUCACCAUCAAAUA